rnacentral:antisense_RNA from 1 species
UGUGGGAGCGGGCCUGCUCGCGAAAGCGCUGGAUCAGUCAGCUCAUUUAGAACUGACAGAAUGCAUUCGCGAGCAAGCCCGCUCCCACA